AACGAACGCUGGCGGCAGGCUUAACACAUGCAAGUCGAACGCACCGCAAGGUGAGUGGCAGACGGGUGAGUAACACGUGGGGAUCUGCCCAAUGGUACGGAAUAGCUCCGGGAAACUGGAAUUAAUACCGUAUGAGCCCGCAAGGGGAAAGAUUUAUCGCCAUUGGAUGAACCCGCGUCGGAUUAGCUAGUUGGUGUGGUAAAGGCGCACCAAGGCGACGAUCCGUAGCUGGUCUGAGAGGAUGAUCAGCCGCACUGGGACUGAGACAAGGCCAAGACUCCUACGGGAGGCAGCAGUGGGGAAUAUUGGACAAUGGGCGCAAGCCUGAUCCAGCCAUGCCGCGUGAGUGAUGAAGGCCUUAGGGUUGUAAAGCUCUUUCGCCGACGAAGAUAAUGACGGUAGUCGGAGAAGAAGCCCCGGCUAACUUCGUGCCAGCCGCCGCCGUAAGAC
rnacentral:rRNA from 1 species